rnacentral:rRNA from 1 species
UACGUAGGGUGCAAGCGUUAAUCGGAAUUACUGGGCGUAAAGCGCGCGUAGGCGGCUUUUCAAGUCGGGCGUGAAAGCCCCGGGCUUAACCCGGGAAUGGCGCUCGAUACUGUUGAGCUAGAGUGUGGAAGGGGCUACUGGAAUUCCGUGUGUAGCGGUGAAAUGCGCAGAUAUCGGGAGGAACACCAAUGGCGAAGGCAGCUCGCUGGGACGGUACUGACGCUGAGACGCGAAAGCGUGGGGAGCAAACAGG